GGAUGAGGCUCAGUGGUAGAGCACUUGCCUGGCAUGCAUGAGGCCCUGGGUUUGACCCCCAGUACCCC
rnacentral:tRNA from 1 species